GACGAACGCUGGCGGCGUGCUUAACACAUGCAAGUCGAGCGAUGAAGUUCCUUCGGGAAUGGAUUAGCGGCGGACGGGUGAGUAACACGUGGGUAACCUGCCUCAUAGAGGGGAAUAGCCUUUCGAAAGGAAGAUUAAUACCGCAUAAGAUUGUAGCUUCGCAUGAAGUAGCAAUUAAAGGAGUAAUCCGCUAUGAGAUGGACCCGCGUCGCAUUAGCUAGUUAGUGAGGUAACGGCUCACCAAGGCGACGAUGCGUAGCCGACCUGAGAGGGUGAUCGGCCACAUUGGGACUGAGACACGGCCCAGACUCCUACGGGAGGCAGCAGUGGGAAAUAUUGCACAAUGGGGGAAACCCUGAUGCAGCAACGCCGCGUGAGUGAUGACGGUCUUCGGAUUGUAAAGCUCUGUCUUCAGGGACGAUAAUGACGGUACCUGAGGAGGAAGCCACGGCUAACUACGUGCCAGCCGCCGCCGUAA
rnacentral:rRNA from 1 species